GAUGAACGCUAGCGGCAGGCCUAACACAUGCAAGUCGAGGGAGAAGCCUUUCGGGGCAGAAACCGGCGCACGGGUGCGUAACGCGUAUGCAACCUACCUUUCACAGGGGGAUAGCCCGAAGAAAUUUGGAUUAAUACCCCAUAAUAUUGUUGGAUGGCAUCAUCUGAUAAUUAAAACUGCUGUGGUGAAAGAUGGGCAUGGGUCCUAUUAGCUGGUUGGAGUGGUAACGGCACCCAAAGGCUACGAUAGGUAGGGGUCCUGAAGGUGAGAUCCCCCACACGGGUACUGAGACCGGGACCCGACUCGUACGGGAGGCAGCAGUGGAGAAUAUUGGUCGAUGGUCGGUAGUCUGACCCAGCCAUGCCGCGUGCAGGAAGAAUGCCGUAUUGGUGGUAAUCUGCUUUUAGAUGGGAAGAAUAAGGUGUACGUGUACAUUGAUGACGGUACCAUAUGAAUAAGCACCGGCUAACUCCGUG
rnacentral:rRNA from 1 species